UGAAAAAGGCAAACUAAGUAAAAGCUUAGGACGCAAAGCCAACGGUCUAAGGAGACGUUAAAGUCUCUAUGAUAGCGUAGCUACCG
rnacentral:ncRNA from 1 species